rnacentral:rRNA from 1 species
UACGUAGGGCGCGAGCGUUAAUCGGAAUUACUGGGCGUAAAGUGUGCGCAGGCGGCCGCGCAAGUCGAGUGUGAAAGCCCCGAGCUAACUUGGGAACUGCGCUCGAAACUACGUGGCUGGAGUGUGGCAGAGGAAGGUGGAAUUCCAGGUGUAGCGGUGAAAUGCGCAGAUAUCAGGAGGAACACCGGUGGCGAAGGCGGCCAACUGGACCAUUACUGACGCUGAGGCGCGAAAGCGUGGGGGGAGCAAACAGG